rnacentral:rRNA from 1 species
UACGGAGGGUGCAAGCGUUAUCCGGAUUCACUGGGUUUAAAGGGUGCGUAGGAGGGCAGGUAAGUCAGUGGUGAAAUCCCCCAAGCUUAACUUGGGAACUGCCGUUGAUACUAUCUGUCUUGAAUACCGUGGAGGUGAGCGGAAUAUGUCAUGUAGCGGUGAAAUGCUUAGAUAUGACAUAGAACACCAAUUGCGAAGGCAGCUCGCUACACGAAUAUUGACUCUGAGGCACGAAAGCGUGGGGAGUCAAACAGGA